UACGUAGGGUGCGAGCGUUAAUCGGAAUUACUGGGCGUAAAGCGUGCGCAGGCGGUUCGUUGUGUCUGAUGUGGAAGCCCCGGGCUCAACCUGGGAAUGGCAUUGGAAACUGGCGAGCUAGAGUGUGGCAGAGGGGGGUGGAAUUCCGCGUGUAGCAGUGAAAUGCGUAGAGAUGCGGAGGAACACCGAUGGCGAAGGCAGCCCCCUGGGCUAGCACUGACGCUCAGGCACGAAAGCGUGGGGAGCAAACAGG
rnacentral:rRNA from 1 species